GCCACAGCAAAUUCAUAUCCGGUUGACCCAGUCAUGGGUAGCUCUACCAACUUUUUUUUUUUGGUGCGAAGCUCUACCAACAUUCAUCUUCAAUAGAGUUUGUUGGAACGCAGAAGUGGCCCGCCCAAAAAAAGACAGGUUUUAGGCAUGAUUUUUUGGCCUACGAUCGAGCCCGGCCUGAUUUUUGCGUAAAAGGCAAUCGAAUUUUUUUGGGGACAGGGGAAGGUAGGUGGUGGAGGAUGUAGCAGGUGGUAGGGGAAUGAAGGUGGUGGUUGUGGAUAAGUAAUAAAAAAAAGAAAAAAGAAAAAUUAGAAAUACUCCUUCUGUUUUCUAAAAAUCUUCUUCGUUUAAGUGCGUUUUCAAAAGAUUUUCAUCUUUUACUAUAUUUCUUAUUUGGAAUUUUUUUUCCCUUUUUACCCUCUCAUGUCCCUAUCAUAUGACCAACAAUUAUAUCAUUAAUUCAAUUUUACUCCCUUUCUCUUUCCUACUUUAACUCCUUUUUAUAUUUUAAUUUAUCUUAACCCCUUUCUCUCUCCUACUUUAAACACGUUACACUCCUGACAAUUGGAUUCCUCCUUGAUAUCGGUAAGAACAGUAAUAAGGAAGAUCUUUAGAAAACGGAGGGACUCGAGGAAGUAUUUAGUAAAAUCUGAACGAUUUUAUGUAAUUUUGGGAGGAUGUUUACUGGACCCUAAAGCCAUUGUAGGCGCAAUUUACCGUUGCAUUUCAGCGGUUCACGUAAUUUUCUCAUCUACUUACCAUUCACCAAUCACCAGUUGCCUCUCUUGACUGCUCUGCUCUUCCGUUAUCCAGCUUGACUUAGCCAUUGCUAUGGCCGACUCAAAAACACUUGCAGCAACAAGCAAUCCAAAACCCAUUAAAACCCUUCUUACAUCCUUGAUUUUCCAAUUAAAAAUAUGGUUACUUCCUAUAUUACUAGCAGUAGUUGUGCUCUUAUUCCAGGUUAACACCUUUGAUCCUGCACCAUUCCCUGUGCACGAGUUUACUAACCAAAGAGCAGCACCAAUAAUCGCUCCCAAAACCAACAGUCGUAUCCUUUGGAAGUCGGAGUUCAUUGGUUCAAGACAGCUUUUAGGGCCUGAAGAUAUAGCUUAUGAGCCUAAAUCAGGGAUUAUUUAUACAGGGUGUGUAGAUGGGUGGAUUAAGCGAGUUAAGCUUGGUGACUCGGUUUCAGAAUCGGUGGUUGAGGAUUGGGUCAACACUGGUGGUCGACCUCUUGGUAUUGCUAUUGCUAUUGCUAGUAGUGGAGAUCAACUUAUUGUUGCUGAUGCUCAUAAGGGACUGCUGAAAAUCACAAAGAACAAGGAAAUACAGCUACUAACUGAUGAAGCUGAAGGGCAGAAAUUCAAGUUUACAGAUGGUGUUGAUAUUGCUAAAGAUGGCACUAUUUAUUUCACAGAUGCUUCAUACAAAUAUGGGUUCCAAGAUUACUUACUUGAUAUCUUAGAAGCCAGACCUUAUGGUAGACUUCUGAGUUUCGAUCCGAAUACUAAAGAAACCAAAGUUCUUCUUCAUGAUCUCUACUUCCCAAAUGGAGUUGUCAUCUCUCCUGAUCAGAAUUCUCUUAUCUUUUGUGAAACACCUAUGAAGAGGUGCAGAACGUAUUGGAUCCGAGGUAACAGAAAGGGUGCAGUGGAUUCAUUUAUUGAUAAUCUGCCUGGCUAUCCAGACAAUAUCCAUAGCGAUGGGAAGACCAAAUAUUGGAUUGCGAUAUCCUCUUCUCUUUCGCCAUAUCUAGAGCAAGCAAAUAAAUUUCGACUAGUACGUAAGGCCAUGUCGAUGGUUGACAGAUACAUUGGCCUUCACCAUAUACAGAGGAAUGGUGGAAUUUUGGGUGUAGAUUUAGAAGGAAACGCAACAUUGCACGUCUAUGAUCGGGCUAUGUCGCUGAUAUCAAGCGGAAUCCAAAUUCAAGAUCAUCUAUAUAUUGGUUCUUUGCACUAUGCCCAUAUCAUUCGCUUCAACUUGAGCUAUUUAUAACCACUUCUCCAGCUGAAGAAGUCAUUGCAUUGAUCAUCCAAAUUGCAUUCAAUUUAGAUAGAAGAUCAUUGUCCUAAACUUCACAAAUGGGACCAAUCAGAAGCAAAAGGUCCAUGAAAAUGAUUCAGAAUGUAGGAUUAUAUAUUUUUGAAAUUCUGAUAUCAGCAUCCCAUAGCCUUAGCCCUUUCUCUAAGAAUAAACUUCUGCAUCUUUCCAGUUGCUGUCUUUGGGAUUUCCUCAAAGAUGACGCUCUUAGGAGCCAUGUAAUGAGGCAAAUGAUCACGGCAAAACUUGAUAAUUUCCUGCUCGUUAGCUUCAUAACCGUCUUUCAACUUGACAAAUGCGCAUGGUGUCUCACCCCAGUGAUUAUCUGGCCUUGCUACAACAGCAGCCUCUAGAAUAGCUGGGUGACUGUAAAGCACAGUCUCGACCUCCACUGUACUUAUAUUCUCUCCACCAGAGAUGAUAACAUCCUUCAACCGGUCCUUAAUUUCUAUGUAAUUGUCAGGGUGUUUAACUGCAAGAUCACCUGAAUGAAACCACCCUCCUUUAAAAGCUUCCUUUGUUGCUUUUGAAUCCUUCAAGUAUCCACUCAUCACCGUAUUUCCUUUGAACAUGAUCUCCCCCAUUGUUUUACCUAUUCAAAACCACAGUUAAAGAUUGUCAGUGUUCGACUUACGUACAUUCUGUGUAUUGUAUACAACAUGAUUUUAGUCACCUGAUAUUACAUAAAGCCAAUUUCAUGAAGGACUAGUUAUAUUGUAAGUCAGGAUGACAGUGAGUAGAUUCUGUUGUAUACAAUAGAACUGUAGUAUAUGUAAUUAAAAAAAUUGUAAAUAACAUUACCAUCAACUGGUACACUUUCCAUGGUGAUGGGAUCUCUGACAUCCACCUCCUCCAACCCAAGGUGUUGUACACCUUGUCUAGCUUUGAUCUUCGAUUUCUCACCGGGAGGUAAAGAAUCCCACUCAGGCUUCCAAACGCUAUAAGUGGCUGGGCCAUAAGUCUCGGUGAGUCCAUACAGAUGAGCAACUUCAAAGCCUAACUCUUCCAUCUUGGACAAUAUCUGAGGUGGAGGAGGUGAUCCUCCUGUAAGAAUCCUCACCUUGUUCGAUAAGGUCCUACGAUCACCUACAGGGGAGUUCACAAUCAUGUUCAGAACAGUAGGAGCUGCACCCAUGUGAGUCACAUUGUGGUUUACAAUGCUGUCAAAUAUGGCCUUUGGGGUGACCUUUCGAAGGCAAAUAUUCGUGCCCCCUUGAGCUGCCACACCCCAAGGAAGACACCACCCGUUGCAGUGGAACAUGGGGACGGUCCAAAGGUAAGUUGGCAUGGAACUCAU